ACUCUAGUCUGACUCUGUGAAGAGACAUGAGAGGUGUAGCAUAAGUGGGAGGCCGUGAACCCUCGUGGUUGCGUUGUGCCGACAGUGAAAUACCACUACUUUCAUCGUUUCUUUACUUACUCGGUGAAGCGGAAAGUGAACCAUCCCGUAUGGAAAUUUUAUAUCUGGGCCAUAUCUGGCCAUAUCAAACAUUAUAUGAUUAUAUACGGAUUAUAUACAGUCUUAUCUGGCGUAUAUACAGACUUAUCUGGCGUUUAUACAGCCUGAUAUGGCGU
rnacentral:rRNA from 1 species